rnacentral:snoRNA from 2 species
CUUUGGUGAUGAGUUAUAACUUCGGUCCGUGUUUCUGAACCCUGAUUAUACUAGAAGUUCUGAAGGG